AGACCCGAGUCGACAGACAACGGCGUAAAGAGUGGUUAAGGCAGAUCAAGACUAAAGCCGAAGGCCCUCAAAACUGUUAUACGUUUACGAGAGUAUGAAGAUCACCUACGAAAGUGGCUUUACAACCCCUGAACCCACGAAAGCUAUGGCACAAACUGGGAUUAGAUACCCCACUAUGCUUAGCCCUAAACAUUGAUAGUGCAUUACACACGCUAUCCGCCCGGGUACUACGAGCAUCAGCUUAAAACCCAAAGGACUUGACGGUGCUUUAGACCCACCUAGAGGAGCCUGUUCUAGAACCGAUAAUCCACGUUAAACCUUACCUUUUCUUGUUAACCCCGCCUAUAUACCGCCGUCGUCAGCUUACCCUGCAAAGGAUACAUAGUAAGCAAAGUUGGUAAAACCCAAAACGCCAGGUCGAGGUGUAGCGUAUGAAAAGGAAAGAAAUGGGCUACAUUCCAUAACACAAUGAAUACGAAUGAUGGACUGAAAAACCCAUCUGAAGGAGGAUUUAGCAGUAAGGAGAAAGCAGAGAGUUCCCCUGAAGCAGGCCCUGAAGCGCGUACACACCGCCCGUCACUCUCCCCGAAUACACUAAACCUGUAAGUAACACAAUAAACCAA
rnacentral:rRNA from 1 species